UUCACAGUGAUCGACACACACCAUGGCUAUGUCCCAAUUACCGCUCCUUCCUCCCAAAGUGUGUACUUGUUCUAAGGUGGGAAUUCCCUCUAGCCAAAGCUUCCUCCACUAAUCCUAUAUCUGUAGUGAACCAGUCCAUACUUCAGGAGACUGUAGAUAUUAUUGGGGGACUCCACUAAUCCUAUAUCUGUAGUGAACCAGUCCAUACUUCAGGAGAAGGUAGAUAUUAUUGGGGGACUCCACUAAUCCUAUAUCUGUAGUGAACCAGUCCAUACUUCAGGAGACUGUAGAUAUUAUUGGGGGACUCCACUAAUCCUAUAUCUGUAGUGACCGAGUCCAUACUUCAGGAGACUGUAGAUAUUAUUGGGGGACUCCACUAAUCCUAUAUCUGUAGUGAACCAGUCCAUACUUCAGGAGAAGGUAGAUAUUAUUGGGGGACUCCACUAAUCCUAUAUCUGUAGUGAACCAGUCCAUACUUCAGGAGACUGUAGAUAUUAUUGGGGGACUCCACUAAUCCUAUAUCUGUAGUGAACCAGUCCAUACUUCAGGAGACUGUAGAUAUUAUUGGGGGACUCCACUAAUCCUAUAUCUGUAGUGAACCAGUCCAUACUUCAGGAGACUGUAGAUAUUAUUGGGGGACUCCACUAAUCCUAUAUCUGUAGUGAACCAGUCCAUACUUCAGGAGAAGGUAGAUAUUAUUGGGGGACUCCACUAAUCCUAUAUCUGUAGUGAACCAGUCCAUACUUCAGGAGAAGGUAGAUAUUAUUGGGGGACUCCACUAAUCCUAUAUCUGUAGUGAACCAGUCCAUACUUCAGGAGACUGUAGAUAUUAUUGGGGGACUCCACUAAUCCUAUAUCUGUAGUGAACCAGUCCAUACUUCAGGAGACGGUAGAUAUUAUUGGGGGACUCCACUAAUCCUAUAUCUGUAGUGAACCAGUCCAUACUUCAGGAGACUGUAGAUAUUAUUGGGGGACUCCACUAAUCCUAUAUCUGUAGUGAACCAGUCCAUACUUCAGGAGAAGGUAGAUAUUAUUGGGGGACUCCACUAAUCCUAUAUCUGUAGUGAACCAGUCCAUACUUCAGGAGACGGUAGAUAUUAUUGGGGGACUCCACUAAUCCUAUAUCUGUAGUGAACCAGUCCAUACUUCAGGAGACUGUAGAUAUUAUUGGGGGACUCCACUAAUCCUAUAUCUGUAGUGAACCAGUCCAUACUUCAGGAGACUGUAGAUAUUAUUGGGGGACUCCACUAAUCCUAUAUCUGUAGUGACCGAGUCCAUACUUCAGGAGACGGUAGAUAUUAUUGGGGGACUCCACUAAUCCUAUAUCUGUAGUGAACCAGUCCAUACUUCAGGAGACUGUAGAUAUUAUUGGGGGACAACACUAAUCCUAUAUCUGUAGUGAACCAGUCCAUACUUCAGGAGACGGUAGAUAUUAUUGGGGGACUCCACUAAUCCUAUAUCUGUAGUGACCGAGUCCAUACUUCAGGAGACGGUAGAUAUUAUUGGGGGACUCCACUAAUCCUAUAUCUGUAGUGAACCAGUCCAUACUUCAGGAGACUGUAGAUA